rnacentral:rRNA from 1 species
CCUACGGGAGGCAGCAGUGAGGAAUAUUCCACAAUGGGGGAAACCCUGAUGGAGCGAUGCCGCGUGCAGGAAGACGCUUUUCGGAGUGUAAACUGCUUUUAACAAGGAAGAUUAUGACGGUACUUGUAGAAUAAGGACCGGCUAACUACGUG